rnacentral:other from 1 species
GUUGGCCUGCAACGCAGGUGUUGGCGCGACGAUCUUUUGAACCAUACUGGAUCUCCGGGAGCCUAUGUCAGACGGCCGGUGUGCAUGUCCCGCAGCGGAUUUCGGUCCGCCGUGGGAAAGCCUAAAGGACGGCGCAGGGCACCCACUUUACACAGAGGUUCAGGAUCUAGCUCCACACGGCGAAGUGGACCGCUC